rnacentral:rRNA from 1 species
GAAGAACGCAGCGAAAUGCGAUAAGUAAUGUGAAUUGCAGAAUUCAGUGAAUCAUCGAAUCUUUGAACGCACCUUGCGCUCCUUGGUAUUCCUUGGAGCAUGCCUGUUUGAGUAUCAUGAAUUCUUCAAAGUAAAUCU